rnacentral:rRNA from 1 species
AUUGAACGCUGGCGGCAGGCCUAACACAUGCAAGUCGAGCGGAGCGGCGGACGGGUGAGUAAUGCCUAGGAAUCUGCCUGGUAGUGGGGGAUAACGUCCGGAACCGGGCGCUAAUACCGCAUACUAUCAGAUGAGCCUAGGGCGGAUUAGCUAGUUGGAGGGGUAAAGGCCUACACGGGCGAAGAUCCGUAACUGGUCUGAGCGGAUGAACAGUCACACUGGAACUGAGACACGGUCCAGAAUCCUACGUGAGGCAGCAGUGGGGAAUAUUGGACAAUGGGCGAAAGCCUGAUCCAGCCAUGCCGCGUGUGUGAAGAAGGUCUUCGGAUUGUAAAGCACUUUAAGUUGGGAGGCGUUACCCGCAGAAUAAGCACCGGCUAACUUCGUGCCAGCAGCCGCGGUAAUUC